UGAGGGGAAUAUUUGGGGUCAAUGGGCGGAAGCCUGAACCAGCCAAGUAGCGUGAGGGAUGACUGCCCUAUGGGUUGUAAACCUCUUUUAUAAGGGAAUAAAAUACGGGACGUGUCCUGUUUUGCAUGUACCUUAUGAAUAAGGACCGGCUAAUUCCGUGCCAGCAGCCGCGGUAAUACGGAAGGUCCGGGCGUUAUCCGGAUUUAUUGGGUUUAAAGGGUGCGUAGGCUGUUUUGCAAGUCAGGGGUGAAAGCCCGGAGCUCAACUCCGGAACUGCCUUUGAUACUGCGAGGCUGGAAUACGGAUGCCGUGGGAGGAAUGAGUAGUGUAGCGGUGAAAUGCAUAGAUAUUACUCAGAACACCGAUUGCGAAGGCAUCUCACGAAUCCGUCAUUGACGCUGAGGCACGAAA
rnacentral:rRNA from 1 species